UCCUACGGGAGGCAGCAGUGGGGAAUAUUGCACAAUGGGCGCAAGCCUGAUGCAGCGAUGCCGCGUGAGGGAAGAAGGUUUUCGGAUUGUAAACCUCUGUUGACAGGGACGAUAAUGACGGUACCUGUUCAGAAAGCUCCGGCUAACUACGUGCCAGCAGCCGCGGUAAUACGUAGGGAGCGAGCGUUGUCCGGAAUUACUGGGUGUAAAGGGAGUGCAGGCGGGACUGCAAGUCAGAUGUGAAAUUUAGGGGCUCAACCCCUCAAACUGCAUUUGAAACUGUGGUUCUUGAGUGAAGUAGAGGUAAGCGGAAUUCCUAGUGUAGCGGUGAAAUGCGUAGAUAUUAGGAGGAACAUCAGUGGCGAAGGCGGCUUACUGGGCUUUAACUGACGCUGAGGCUCGAAAGCGUGGGGAGCAAACAGGAUUAGAUACCCUGGUAGUCC
rnacentral:rRNA from 1 species